rnacentral:rRNA from 1 species
AACGAACGCUGGCGGCAGGCCUAACACAUGCAAGUCGAGCGCGCCCUUCGGGGUGAGCGGCGGACGGGUGAGUAACGCGUGGGAACGUGCCCUUUUCUACGGAAUAGCCUCGGGAAACUGAGAGUAAUACCGUAUACGCCCUUUGGGGGAAAGAUUUAUCGGAAAAGGAUCGGCCCGCGUUGGAUUAGGUAGUUGGUGGGGUAAUGGCCUACCAAGCCGACGAUCCAUAGCUGGGUUGAGAGGAUGAUCAGCCACACUGGGACUGAGACACGGCCCAGACUCCUACGGGAGGCAGCAGUGGGGAAUCUUAGACAAUGGGGGCAAUCCUGAUCGAGCCAUGCCGCGUGAGUGAUGAAGGCCUUAGGGUUGUAAAGCUCUUUCAGCUGGGAAGAUAAUGACGGUACCAGCAGAAGAAGCCCCGGCUAACUCCGUG